UUCAAUAUUUCAUAUAUUUCAGAUCAAAUCCCAUUUUGCCCUAGCCCUUACCCCCUAGCAGUUAGCCUGCUCCCAUUCUUCACACUUUUCGUGGAACUCGAUCUGACAUCCUCUCCACUUCUCCAGCCUCUGUCCCUCCGCCUCUCUCCGGCCUCCGCGGCGAACGCGCCUCGGGUGACGCACGAUCUCGAUCUCGGCUCCCAGUCUCCAAGUCUCGAUCUCGGCCUUAUCCGGCUCUCUUUGUAUGUUUGUUUUGUUUUGUUUUGUAAGUUACAUCUGAUUUUGAAUUGAACCCUUUUAGUCUUUUACGGGUUAUUCGAUCUUAUUUUGGUAGUUAGGGUUAUGAUUUCUAAGGUGGGUACUGGGUAAUCUUUUGAUUUGAGUGAUUGAAUCUUCUAAGGUGGGUACGGAGGGAUUGAAUCUUCUUAAAGGUGUAUUGGAUAGCAACUCUUGAGAUAAUAGUAGGUAAAGGAAAUUAAGAAUAGGUUGGGGUGCAGGGGAGGGAGGAAGGAAGGAAAGGGCCUGUACACUGACUGACGGGUUCAUGUUUUUUUUAACCCCCAUGUUGUUGCAGCCCCUCUCCUUUAUCCUUAUUGUUAUGAAAUAAACAAGUUAGUUUUAUUUAAUUUAGUUAGUUAAUUUUAUUUUAUUUUAUUUUUCUCAGAUCAUGUACCUUGUCAUAAAGUUAUGUUGUAUCUUUUCUUUUUUAGUGGUGCGCAGUGUAUAAAAUCCAUUUUGAAGGGUGCUUUGUUGUAUAAGAAAAUCUUUUCACUCAAUAAUUCAUACACAUGUAGAUUUGUUGUUUAUCAGGGCUUGUUUCUGAAACCAUAGUUUGCAGACCAGUGGGCAGUGGCUCAUUAUAUGGAGCUUUGAUUGGGUCUGUCCUGGCUUUUAAUGUUGCCGAUUUUCUAGGUGAGACUAAUUUCAUUCUUGUUCUCAUUUAUUUAUGUAAAUGCAUGUGUUCUAUCAGGUGUUCUUUAGUUGUGUUUUUCUGCAGUCAGUAAUGUGGUGUAGUUGUCAUACUUUUUAAGUUUUAAUGAUAAACCAACUGUGUCUGUGUUAAUGCCAGUUAAAUAGUACAGGAUUUGUGUUGCAUACUUGCAUGUUCAUGUUGUUGUACAUGAUGUGUGAUGUUCAUGGUCAUUUGAUGUACAGGAUUUGUGUUGCAUGUUGAUGUUGCUGUUGUUGACUUGUUGUUGGUUGUCGGCUGUUGUUGUAUGUUGUUGUUCGUUGUUGGUUGUUUGCUGUUGCACACUUGCACAAGCACAAUUGCUGUCUGCUGGUCUGCUGCUAGUUGCUGCUGCGUGCUACUCUGUCUCUGCUAGUAGAUUAAUUUCAUGUUGGCUUGUUGUUGCUUUGUUAAGUCAUAAAUUUGUUAAGGUCAUAAGGACUGGACAGUUAAUUUUUGUUGGUUUGUUGUUGCUGACUUGCUGUAUUUUGGACAGUUAAUUUGGCUUGCUUUGUUAAGUCAUAAAUUUCAUGUUGGCUUGUUGUUGCUACUGGACAAUUAAGUUAACAGUUGGCAGUUACUGGACAGUUGAUUUGUUAAACAGUUAACAUGUAAUUUAUGUUGGAUGAUAUUUCGGUUAUUACCCGAAUACCCGAAAUUACAAUUCCGUAAUUCGAUAUUCGGUUAUUUUCAAAUUUUAGUUAACAUUUCGGAUAGUGAAAUUAUCAAUAAUUCAAUUUUUCGAUUAUAACCGAAUAGCUUAUUCGGUUCGGUUAUAACCGAAUGAUCACUCCUAACUUCCACUCCCCCUAUCUCCAUCACAAGUCCCAACUUAUUGUCCAGUACCACAUCUUGUCCAACCUAAACCACCUCACCCACUUCAUUCACACAAAAAUCUCUGCUCUAACGUAUCCCAAGCUCUGUGACCUUGACGCUAUUUUGCUCCUCCUCCUCUUUUGCGAACUCCGCCAACAGGAUCCCAAAGCACUUGAAACAACACCAAUUAAAUGGCGUCUCACUCUUUGUAAUUAUUAUGUUCAUGAUACCAUAUUAACAUUUUCUGGUAUUAGUGUUUGAAAUAGUGUCGGUACAUAUUUUUUUCAUAGUACAAUUGGUAACCAAACCUUCAUACAAAGGUAUCCAAUUCAGUUUUAUUGGGUUACCAAUUAAUUAUAAAAAAUUUAAGAACAGUUUCCAAGUGUUUCCUGAAUUUGUUUUAUUUAACAUGUGCAACCAUGAAAAAUUUUAUUGGGUUCUGUAAUGGUCGUCGUCAGUACAUUUUUUUUCACAGUUCAGUUGGUAGCCAAACCUUCAUAUAAAGGUAACAAGUUCAGUUUUAUUGGGUUACCAAUUAAUUAUAAAAAAAAUUUAAGAAUAGUUUUCAUGUGUUACUUGAAUUUGUUUUCUUCAACAUGUGCAACCAUAUAUGAACAAUUUUAUUUGGUUCUGCAAUGGUCACCGUCAGUACAUUUUUUUUAUAGUGCAGUUGGUAGCCAAACCUUCAUACAAAGGUAACCAAUUCAUUUUUAUUAGGUUACCAAUUAAUUAUAAAAAAUUUAAGAACAGUUUCCAACAUGUGCAACCAUGAACAAUUUUAUUGGGUUAUGCAUUGCAAUUGGAUAGCGAUAAUUAAUUUCUCACUAAAUCAG
rnacentral:lncRNA from 1 species